rnacentral:rRNA from 1 species
AGAUUGAACGCUGGCGGCAUGCUUUACACAUGCAAGUCGAACGGCAGCGCGGGGCAACCUGGCGGCGAGUGGCGAACGGGUGAGUAAUAUAUCGGAACGUACCCAAGAGUGGGGGAUAACGUAGCGAAAGUUACGCUAAUACCGCAUACGAUCUAAGGAUGAAAGCAGGGGACCGCAAGGCCUUGUGCUCCUGGAGCGGCCGAUAUCUGAUUAGCUAGUCGGUAGGUAAAGGCCUACCAAGGCUACGAUCAGUAGCUGGUCUGAGAGGACGACCAGCCACACUGGAACUGAGACACGGUCCAGACUCCUACGGGAGGCAGCAGUGGGGAAUUUUGGACAAUGGGCGCAAGCCUGAUCCAGCAAUGCCGCGUGAGUGAAGAAGGCUUCGGUGUAAAGCUCUUUGUCAGGAAGAAACGGUGGGGCGUAAGUAUCGUCCUACUAAUAGACGGUACUAGAAGAAUAAGACACGGACUAACUACGUGCAGCAGCCGUA